AACGAGGCCGACCUGCGGCUGAGUUACCUGCGGAAGGAUCAUUACCGAGUUUACAACUCCCAAACCCCUGUGAACAUACCAAUUGUUGCCUCGGCGGAUCAGCCCGCUCCCGGUAAAACGGGACGGCCCGCCAGAGGACCCCUAAACUCUGUUUCUAUAUGUAACUUCUGAGUAAAACCAUAAAUAAAUCAAAACUUUCAACAAUGGAUCU
rnacentral:misc_RNA from 1 species